AAUCAUCCGACCAUUCUCUUUCCCAACCCAGCACUACACCGCCGCUGCCUCCUCUCCUCCAUCUCUGCAUGGGCGCGCACCCCCAUCCUCCCCAACCUGGUCGCCGGCUGGCCGCUGCUCCCUCUCCUCCAUCUCUGCACGGGCGCGCACCCCCAUCCUCCUCAACCUGGUCGCCGGCCAGCCCCUGCGCGACGUCGUUCAUCGAGCUAGGGUUGGAGCAGCUCGGCGGCGAUGAGGAGCAGGCCAGCCCUCUCAAGAGGGUCGUCCACACCGUUGCCGUCGGUGACUUUCAGGGGCAGUCGGCGCCUUUCCUCUCUAAUCGCGACUCCGGCGACGUCGGACAGGACGUUCGCCAUCGGCGCAAACGCGGUGGAGAUGUAGGGCCCCUUGAGGGAGAGGUCGAUGCUGAGUUGUGCCUGUUGAAGCAUGACGGAGAGGGGGAGGCCUUCCGGCCACGGCCGGCGUCCGCCAUGGGGCCGGCUCAGCCUCAGCUUCUGAUCGAGGUGCAGCUCCAGCAGCACCGGCAGUUUGCUGCGGGUCAUCAGCAGAGCGCAGUUCAUCUUCCAAAUCAUGCCCCGACCCCGGCUGCAUCUCCCCUUCCGCUACACGAACGCCUUGGGUGGUUGCCGCUUUGACAGGCGUUUGUGAAGCGAAUCAGGUUCGUUCUUCGGUCCGUUGAGGUGGCCGGGGAUUGUUCCGGACGUGGGACUCUGAGGCGCCCCUUCUUCGUGGGUAUUUUGCUGCUGCUUUUGUUUCUUCAUUGGAUAUGCCUCCAAUUUAAGCGCGCUGGCGAUGGCAAGAAGUUCGGCGUGGAAAGCGACCAGCUGGUUCCUUUCGUGGUAUUUGACCGGCUGUGCAGUCGAGUAGUGUGACCUGACGAUUUUUUUAUUUCCGUCUUUGGUUUCCGGUUCUGAUGGUCUGGGGUGAUCUCUGCUCCCUGUGCAAUGUGAUCUUAUAAUCUACUCCCUCCGUUCCUUUAUAUGUACUAAGAGAAGCAUCUGACAUGUCCGUGCUGUACCAUCCCUGUUUCUCUUCUGGUCGGCACUCUGGUUCUUUGCAUAGUGUUGUUCCGAUUUUGUAGGCUGAUUGUAACCGGAAUGAGAACCGCGGUUGUUAGGAAUAUCUUUUUGUUUUUACUGAGUGAAGCUACACCAGCCUCCUCGAAUCGAUGAUCAUGUAAGCAUCUAGCAGUCUUGAAUGUCACU